AGUGGGAUAGCUGGGUCAAAUCCAUUCCAGGUUUUCUAAGGAAUUUCCAUACUGCUUUCCAUAAUGGUUGCACCAAUCUGCAGUCCCACCAGCAAU
rnacentral:pre_miRNA from 1 species